UACGUAGGGUGCAAGCGUUAUCCGGAAUUAUUGGGCGUAAAGAGCUCGUAGGCGGUCUGUCGCGUCUGCUGUGAAAACUGGAGGCUCAACCUCCAGCCUGCAGUGGGUACGGGCAAACUAGAGUGCGGUAGGGGAGAUUGGAAUUCCUGGUGUAGCGGUGGAAUGCGCAGAUAUCAGGAGGAACACCGAUGGCGAAGGCAGAUCUCUGGGCCGUAACUGACGCUGAGGAGCGAAAGCGUGGGGAGCGAACAGG
rnacentral:rRNA from 1 species